rnacentral:rRNA from 1 species
UACGUAGGGUGCAAGCGUUUGUCCGGAAUUAUUGGGCGUAAAGAGCUCGUAGGCGGCUUGUCGCGUCGGCUGUGAAAACCUGGGGCUGCAACCCCGGGCCCGUGCAGCCGAUACGGGCAAGCGUAGAAUUCGGUAGGGGAGGACUGGAAUUCCUGGUUGUAGCGGUGGAAAUGACGCAGAUAUCAGGAGGAACACCGGUGGCGAAGGCGGGUCUCUGGGCCGAAAAUUGACGCUGAGGAGCGAAAGCGUGGGGGAGCAAACAGG